UGAAAUUUAAGCAAAAGGAAAUAAUUUUCUCUACAAAAAAUAACAUUCUCAUUCUUAUUAUUGCGAAACAAAAAAAAAAAAAAAGAAAAAGAAAAGAAAGAAGAAAAAAGUCGGGUCUGGACCAAAAUAUGAAGGCCCAAACAGGUGAAAGCUCGGGUCAAGUCCCAGCCCAAGUCUAGACCCUGUCUCAGCCCCGAGCUCACAACUCCUCUCAUUGCUCUAGAUCACCUUGUUUGGGAGCAAGAAGAAAUCCUCUUCUUCAAGCUCGUACGCGCGACAGAGGAAGGAGGUGUUUCGAGGAUUUUGGAAGAAGAAAAGAGGAGAGAGAGCACUACGAGAUACAGCUAGGUUUCUCAUGGCUGCAAUUUCAAAGAUCAAGGAGCACGAAGAGAGAUACUUGGUCUGUCUUCGAGGAUAGCAUCGAAAAUGGCGAUUCAGAAGAGAGCUCGUAGAGGGCCCUGCGCUAAACCAGAAUAGAAAAAAGGAAUUCAGGAGCUUCGAAGCGGUUGUAGAAAGCGUCGAACUAAAAUUUCCAAGAAGACGAGGUUAAGCAGUUUCUCUUCUCUUUCACCCUUCGUUCAACACACCAUUGAAUAAGAAUGUUAUAAUAACCUACAUUCUUACUGAUGACAGUAAUUCAUUCUGAUAAUUAUUAAACAGCUUAUUACUAAACAUAUAUUUACUAGUGAAGAUAAAAAUUUAUAUAACAAUAAAAAUAUGGUCAAUGAUAAUAAAAUAUUUAUACUACUGAUUACUAAAUAUUUAUAAAUAUAUAAUAUACAACGCAUACAUUCAUAAUUAUAAAUUUAAAUAAAUAUUAUCCCAUAUAAUUAAGAUAUUAUUAACUUUCUUUUAUAAUUAUUACAUUAUUUGCAUCUUAUUAUUUA
rnacentral:lncRNA from 1 species